rnacentral:rRNA from 1 species
UACGUAGGGCGCGAGCGUUGUCCGGAAUUAUUGGGCGUAAAGAGCUCGUAGGCGGCCUGUUGCGUCUGCUGUGAAAUCCCGGGGCUUAACCCCGGGCGUGCAGUGGAUACGGGCAGACUAGAGUUCGGCAGGGGAGACUGGAAUUCCUGGUGUAGCGGUGAAAUGCGCAGAUAUCAGGAGGAACACCGGUGGCGAAGGCGGGUCUCUGGGCCGAAACUGACGCUGAGGAGCGAAAGCGUGGGGAGCGAACAGG